AACGAACGCUGGCGGCGCGCUUAACACAUGCAAGUCGAGCGGACCCGCCAGGGUCAGCGGCGAACGGGUGAGUAACACGUGGGGAAUCUGCCCUGAAGACCGGGAUAACUCGGCGAACGCCGAGCUAAUACUGGAAGAGCAUCCGACGAGGCAUCUCGAUGGGUGAAAAGUGGCAACACACUUCCGGAUGAGCCCGCGGGCCAGCAGCUAGUUGGCGGGGUAAAGGCCCACCAAGGCAACGACGGGUAGCUGGUCUGAGAGGACGACCAGCCACACUGGAACUGAGAGACGGUCCAGACUCCUACGGGAGGCAGCAGUGGGGAAUCUUGCGCAAUGGGCGAAAGCCUGACGCAGCGACGCCGUGUGUGCGAUGAAGGUCUUCGGAUCGUAAAGCACUGUCGCGAGGGAAGAAACCGAAAGGGUGACGGUACCUCGAAAGGAAGCACCGGCUAACUCCGUGCCAGCAGCCGCGGUAAAAC
rnacentral:rRNA from 1 species